UUGAGGGUGAAGAACUACUGAGGUUUAAUGACACACACUCUGCUUUUAUGCAAUUCUCCUGUGCAAGGGAGACGUACACAGACAAUUAUGAAUUACCCAAUCACACACUGGUUACGUCCCACACAUCUCCUUCUCUUAGCCUGAGACGUAACCCAAUUAGCCAUACAGUUUAAAACAUACUUUUAACCCAACUUUCAUAACUCUAAAACUAUACAUCCAAUAUUAAUAAAAGUCACAUAUUAAUCAGCAUAUUUCAAAUACAAACAUACCCAAAAAUCAUUUUAAUCCGUUCAGGAGAUAGAUAUAAGUCACCUUUGACCGCAAGCACAUUUUCAUGCCCAAAACAAGAGAAUCAGGCUAUGCGGCCGGUCUAUUUCCCAUGUUAAAGUCAGUUCAAACAGACGAACAACAACCAUUCGAAUUGUCGAAUGAACUGUCGAAUGCAUUUGUUCCAGAGAAGGUAAAAUUUCAGCGGUGUUCGUGCCGUUUUGUAGCCGAUUUUAGUUCCAUGAGAUUGACGGCACACACCGCUGACUGCAUUCGAAUGAAUCAAAAUGGCCGCCGCCACGUGUUCGGUUUUCUAAUAGCGGCCACUUCGACUGUAUCUGAAGUGCCAUGCCAAAACUGCAGGUCCGUUCCCAAAGUAUUUAAAAGGGCCAGAGACAGCACAAUAAAAUACCCAAAUACUUAUAUAUAUUUAAAGGGCCUCAUCUUCCAGGGACCAUAAUCACAUGGCAAGAGGCUGGCAAGUAGUCCUCUCCAGGCACAAGUGGCGAAGGGCACUUCAUCACAGUAAUGUUUUAGGAUGGGGGAGGGAGGGUAAUGACUCCAUUAUACGCAGGUUGGAGAGUAAUGGCAGAGGGCUAGGGAAUAGAAAGCUGACUUAUUUCCUAAAUCUAUUGUGAUAUGUGUCACGGAUUAUAAAAUGUCCGUACAACCUAUCAUGGAUGGCCUGGGGGUGGGGUGGGUUAAAGGAAUAUUAUUUCAGGGUUUGGGUGAAUGGUGAGAGCAGAGGCUACACCAACCUGUAUCUGAUUUAAUCUUAAUACAAGCUCCCUCUCCCUCACUGAUGGGCGAUUCCCACAAUCCGGGUAAACAGAGCGCCAAUACAAAUUACCACUAAAGAUGCCAGCAUGGCUUUAUCUCCGCAGAGUGCCCGCAUAAUGGUGUUUGGCAUAGCUGAUGAAUUUAGUGAGCUAUCCAGGGACCGACGGCAUCUUCUCACAUCUCAUUCUGUGUGCUAAUUCCCUCAUUAGAUGCCACUCGCUGGGCACCAUGCCCGUCCUGCUAAUGCACUAUUAACUAUUCCUGUGCUGGAUGCAAUUCUUAUGAGCAGCAAAUCGAAACAGAGUGAAAAUACGCAGUUAACACAGUGAUUUCCCAUCCACAACCAUCUGGAUUAACUCUUUCUGUGCCACCCUUGCGCAUGUAGCAUGGACAGUAUUAAAGAGGAAUAUUACUCCCCCCUUGUCCCUCAGUAAAUGUUACAGACGGGUUUAGAGGUCAAUAAAAGGCACACGUACUUCCCUGCACUAUCAUGUUCAGGGUACCAGCACCCGCCUGUCCUUGCGAUAUCACUUAUCUAGUCAGAGACCAUAAGUACACAGUAUGCUCACUAACCGGCCACUGCGAGCACAGUACUGAAAUCCCGCUGGUAAUUUGAAAUGUUUGGAGCCAUGCCCCAUAGGGGCAGUGUACCCACUAUAGAAACGCAUGGGACUGAGCAGUCUCUGUCACAUGUGGCCACUGGCCAGCAAUGAGGAAGGGACAAGGAUCUGGCUGGGCUAUCUCUGUCACAUGUGGCCAGCAAUGAGGAAGGGACCAGGAUCUGGCUGGGCUGUCACAUGUGGCCAGCAAUGAGGAAGGGACCAGCAUAUGGGCUGUCUCUGCCAUCACUGGAUUCAAGUCGGUGCCUUGGGAUUUGUUGCUGGGAUUGGGGAAGCAUCAUAUCUUCUUUAACUCUAAUCCGUUGGUAUUUUGACACUUUCCACCCAGACAAUGAUUAAAUCAGUGGUAAAACCUACACUGCAGGACAUUGCUCAGUUACUGAAUAAUGAAACCUUGUUACAUCACGCAGGUACACAUUCACCUGCGUGCCACUGUAAUAUAUGACACUUCAGGAACCAUAACCACUACGUGUACAGCUUAUUGAAGAGGUUCUGGUGGACCCACCAGCUUUUGCCAAACCAUUAUUUUUUUGGAGUGUUUAGACAAUAACUAAAGGAUUCCUCAAUGCCCACUCCCUCUGCUUGGGACAUUUCACUUCCCCAGUAUCUGUCCAUUGUUUGUUAACCCUUUCAGUACUGUACACCCUCCUCUCUGUCAAUACAACCUCUCCAGAAAGGUGCAGCCAAAUCCUGUUAUACCCCAGAGCCAUAUUUUACUCGGAAAAUUAAACCAACCCAUGAUGACUUUCCUACCAGAACCAGUGGGCUUUGAGUGCUAGGGGAAAUUUUUAUUUUUUUUAUUUUCAAACCAUUUGAAAUGGUCACACAAAACUAGUGAGAUAGCACCCAUGGCAUUUAUUUAGCAUAACCCUCACAAUAAGCGCUAACGUCACAGUUAGCACCAUAACAACUUUGCAUCAUUGUAAAUAUCUCUGCAGAUACAAGUCUGUCACCAGGGACAGUGAUGGCCAAGGAGGAAUUAGAUUUAUAGUUCUUUCAGGGAUCGCAUACAGAGUGGACGGACACCGGUCUCCUCGUCCCUCCGUGAACGCAAGCUGCGUACCAGACGGUGUAAAUAACAAUAUGGCCGCUGUUAAAUUACUGAGGGAUAAACUACUUAUGUCAAAACUAUUGCUAUACAGAAAUUUACAGGCGAAUAACAAAAAUACAGUGAAUUCCCAUGAUUGGUUCUCUGCUCUGGGAGGGCACCUCAGUGUUAAGUUUUAGGUCAGCCUGGAUUGAUCCUAUACAUCCAUACCGUUAUACCAGUACUGUAAUUAUUUAUACCAUCACACUGCUAAUCUGAUGUCAGCAACGUAAACUACGUCAUCACUUUAUUGACUCAAGACUUCAUCUUCUACGUACAUAGACGUGACACUCGAUUAAAAUGCAUUGGGGGGGGAGGGGGGAGGUUUUAUGUCAAUUUCUGCAUAUUCUUCUGUUAACUAUACAGUAAGAUUUAAUGUAAACAAUCUAUAACAAUGCAGUAAACUGUAGUGGUUAUGGUGUGCCUGAGAUUGAAUGAGAAGCUCCUGGGAGCGUGGGGCGCUGGGACCUGUGGGAUAAUACAAUCUCUAACACAAUGGGACUGUGUACGUUAACUCUUUGAGGAAAAGGUUUUGCACAAAUCCUACAGCAGAGUUUCCUAAAUCAGCCGUCCAGAGACACCAACAGUCCAGGUCAGUAUCUCCAUUGGAAUAAAGCAGGACCCUUGGGGGGCCAUGGGGACUUAUUUGGAAACCUCUGUCCUACACUGUAACAGCCUGGCACUUUAACUCAUGCAAUGGUUAAAUGGUAUUUCUCACACAGCACCAGAUUGAGAAGUUCUAAAUGAAUGCGGUGAAUGAGGAGAGUGUUAGAGAAAGAUAUUUGCUUUUAAACUGUAAUCAAUCAAUAUUGCAGAGGAUAAACAAUAGAUAAUGUCCUGGCCACACUAUCCAUGAUAAGGAGUAAUAGGAACAAACAGAGGGAGCCAGAGGUUGGAAGGUUAAAGUUGAUGCAUUAACCCAUUAAAGCUGGUGGAUUAGCAGCUUGAGCAGUCUUCAAAAGCGCACACUUCCUGCAAGGCGUCGUAUAGCCACCUGUCAGCAACGCAUUGUGCCAAUCUCAUCACUCCCAGAGAUCUGGUCUUUCACAAAAGAACCGUGAAUAUAAAACUCGCUCAGAUUACCCGCACCAAGGCAGCAUAGGCAGAGUGGAAUAACUGAAUGGCAAAAUUCAGGAUAAAAUAUUCGGAGAGCCCAGCUAUUCAGGAAGACAUUCUGCAAUUUGUUUGACAAUAUUAUCCAGUUAAGUGAACAAGCCCCAUUAAAGGGAGAAUAGCGAUCUUUGCAGACUAUGUCUGAAUAUGCGCUCAGGAACAUUUAAUACACAUAUUUAUGACAAUUCACUGCUGUUGUAACACCCCUCUCAUCACUUUCAGUCAGCUUUUGGUGGGAGUUAUAGUGCGGGCUACAUUGCAUUCAUUAGAAUAAACCGUGUUUCUAUUCAAAUAGUAAUUUGACAGCUGCUAUCCCAUGCUGAACGCUUCCAGAAUUAAUAAAAAGCAGUAAACCUAGACCAUCACAGAGUACUAAUCGAUCAUUCCAGAAAUAUUUACUAUUAACAUCAAUGAUCUGCAGCAGAUGCGAUAUUCUGCAAAUAGCCCUGCUUUACCACACUAUCGAUAACGGACCAAAUUCCUAGCUGUAGCUACGAAACAGCGACCCAAGGAACGCGCUUCAUGGUGAGUAGCA